rnacentral:rRNA from 1 species
UAUGUUGGUAGCGCGGCAUACUGCUCCGUAACACGUAGCCAACCUGCCCUUGGGACGGAGAUAACCCCGGGAAACUGGGGCUAAUACCUGAUGGGUGAAAAUGCCUGGAAUGGUUUUUCACUGAAAAGGCGUUGGGAACAUGCUCUCAACGUUGCCCAAGGAUGGGACUGCGGGCGAUCAGGUUGUUGGUAGGGUAACUGCCUACCAAGCCUAUAACCGAUACGGGCCCUGAGAGGGGUAGCCCGGAGAUGGGAACUGAGACAAUGUCCCAGGCCCUACGGGGCGCAGCAGGCGCGAAAACUCCACAAUACACGAAUGUGUGAUGGGGUCAUCCCGAGUGCCAUCCGAUUAGGGUGGCUUUUACCUGGUGUAAGGAGCCGGGGGAAUAAGAGGGGGGCAAGACUGGUGUCAGCCGCCGCGGUAAUACCAGCUCCUCGAGUGGUAGGGACGAUUAUUUAGCCUAAAGCGUUCGUAGCCGGCCUUGUAAGUCCCUCGUGAAAUCCGACGAUUCAAUCGUCGGGCGUGCGAGGGAUACUGUUAGGCUUGAGGGCGGGAGAAGUCGACGGUAGUCCCGGGGUAGGGGUGAAAUCUUAUAAUCCCGGGAGGACCACCAGUGGCGAAGGCGGUCGACUAGAACGCGCCUGACGGUGAUGGACGAAAGCUGGGGGAGCGAACCGGAUUAGAUACCCGGGUAGUCCCAGCUGUAAACGAUGCGGGCUAGGUGUUGGGAUAGCCACGCGCUAUUCCAGUGCCGCAGGGAAGCCCAUAAGCCCGCCGCUUGGGAAGUACGGUCGCAAGGCUGAAACUUAAAGGAAUUGGCGGGGGAGCACCACAAGGGGUGAAGGCUGCGGUUUAAUUGGA